CCAGACUCCUACGGGAGGCAGCAGUGGGGAAUAUUGGACAAUGGGGGGAACCCUGAUCCAGCGACGCCGCGUGAGUGAAGAAGUAUUUCGGUAUGUAAAGCUCUAUCAGCAGGGAAGAAAGAAAUGACGGUACCUGACUAAGAAGCCCCGGCUAACUACGUGCCAGCAGCCGCGGUAAUACGUAGGGGGCAAGCGUUAUCCGGAUUUACUGGGUGUAAAGGGAGCGUAGACGGCGAUGCAAGUCUGAAGUGAAAGCCCGGGGCCCAACCCCGGGACUGCUCUGGAAACUGCGUCGCUGGAGUACGGGAGGGGCAGGCGGAAUUCCUGGUGUAGCGGUGAAAUGCGUAGAUAUCAGGAGGAACACCGGCGGCGAAGGCGGCUUGCUGGACGAUGACUGACGUUGAGGCUCGAAAGCGUGGGGAGCAAACAGGAUUAGAUACCCGCGUACG
rnacentral:rRNA from 1 species